UCGAGAAUCUUCGGCAAUGGGCGCAAGCCUGACCGAGCGACGCCGCGUGGAGGACGAAGGCCUUCGGGUUGUAAACUCCUGUCGAGGGGGAGGAAGGCGCCGUGCAGAGCGGCGCUUGACCGAUCCCUGGAGGAAGCACGGGCUAAGUUCGUGCCAGCAGCCGCGGUAAGACGAACCGUGCGAACGUUAUUCGGAAUCACUGGGCUUAAAGCGCGUGUAGGCGGGCCGCCACGUCGGGCGCUGAAAUCCCCCGGCUCAACCGGGGAACGGGCACCGAUACGAGCGGCCUGGAGGGGAGUAGGGGGACCUGGAACUUCCGGUGGAGCGGUGAAAUGCGUUGAGAUCGGAAGGAACGCCCGUGGCGAAAGCGAGGUCCUGGGCUCCUGCUGACGCUGAGACGCGAAAGCCAGGGGAGCGAACGGGAUUAGAUACCCGUGUAGUCC
rnacentral:rRNA from 1 species